GACGAACGCUGGCGGCGUGCCUAACACAUGCAAGUCGAGCGAGAGACUUCGGUCUCUAGCGGCGGACGGGUGAGUAACACGUGGGUAACCUGCCUCAUAGUGGGGGAUAGCCUUCCGAAAGGAAGAUUAAUACCGCAUAUACUCUCGAUACCGCAUGGUAUUUAGAGGAAAGGAGCAAUCCGCUAUGAGAUGGACCCGCGGCGCAUUAGCUAGUUGGUGAGGUAACGGCUCACCAAGGCGACGAUGCGUAGCCGACCUGAGUGGGUGAUCGGCCACAUUGGGACUGAGACACGGUCCAGACUCCUACGGGAGGCAGCAGUGGGGAAUAUUGCACAAUGGGCGAAAGCUUGAUGCAGCAACGCCGCGUGAGUGAUGACGGCCUUCGGGUUGUAAAGCUCUGUCUUUUGGGACGAUAAUGACGGUACCAAAGGAGGAAGCCACGGCUAACUACGUGCCAGCAGCCGCGGUAA
rnacentral:rRNA from 1 species